AUCCAGCUGACGAGUCCCACAUAAGACGAAGUGCGCGUCCUUAAU
rnacentral:hammerhead_ribozyme from 1 species